GAUGAACGCUAGCGGGAGGCCUAACACAUGCAAGCCGAGCGGUAUUGUUUCUUCGGAAAUGAGAGAGCGGCGUACGGGUGCGUAACACGUGUGCAACCUGCCUUUAUCUGGGGGAUAGCCUUUCGAAAGGAAGAUUAAUACUCCAUAAUAUAUUGAACGGCAUCGUUUAAUAUUGAAAGCUCCGGCGGAUAGAGAUGGGCACGCGCAAGAUUAGCUAGUUGGUGAGGUAACGGCUCACCAAGGCGAUGAUCUUUAGGGGGCCUGAGAGGGUGAUCCCCCACACUGGUACUGAGACACGGACCAGACUCCUACGGCAGGCAGCAGUGAGGAAUAUUGGUCAAUGGGUGCAAGCCUGAACCAGCCAUCCCGCGUGAAGGACGACUGCCCUAUGGGUUGUAAACUUCUUUUGUAUAGGGAUAAACCUACCCUCGAGAGGGUAGCUGAAGGUACUAUACGAAUAAGCACCGGCUAACUCCGUG
rnacentral:rRNA from 1 species